rnacentral:rRNA from 1 species
GUUUGACCUCGGAUCAGGUAGGGUUACCCGCUGAACUUAAGCAUAUCAAUAAGCGGAGGAAAAGAAACCAACAGGGAUUGCCUCAGUAACGGCGAGUGAAGCGGCAACAGCUCAAAUUUGAAAUCUGGCCGCCUGUGCGGUCCGAGUUGUAAUUUGAAGAGGAUGCUUUUGGCAAGGUGCCUUCCGAGUGCCCUGGAAUGGGACGCCAUAGAGGGUGAGAGCCCCGUAUGGUCGGUCGCCGAGCCUCUGUAAAGCUCCUUCGACGAGUCGAGUAGUUUGGGAAUGCUGCUCAAAAUGGGAGGUAAACCCCUUCUAAAG